AUUGAACGCUGGCGGCAUGCCUUACACAUGCAAGUCGAACGGUAACGGGCCUUCGGGUGCCGACGAGUGGCGAACGGGUGAGUAACGUAUCGGAACGUACCUUUCAGUGGGGGAUAACGUAGCGAAAGUUACGCUAAUACCGCAUAUUCCGUGAGCAGGAGAGCAGGGGAUCGCAAGAAGUUUCGCUGAAUGAGCGCGCGAUAUCAGAUUAGCUAGUUGGGGAGGUAAAGGCUCACCAAGGCGACGAGCUGUAGCGGGUCUGAGAGGAUGAUCCGCCACACUGGAACUGAGACACGGUCCAGACUCCUACGGGAGGCAGCAGUGGGGAAUUUUGGACAAUGGGGGCAACCCUGAUCCAGCCAUGCCGCGUGAGUGAAGAAGGCCUUCGGGUUGUAAAGCUCUUUCGGCCGGGAAGAAAUCGUAUCAGCUAAUACCUGGUGCGGAUGACGGUACCGGCAUAAGAAGCACCGGCUAACUACGUGCCAGCCGCCGCUGUAAUAC
rnacentral:rRNA from 1 species